CUCCAGCCUGAGCAACAGGGUGAGACUCUGUCUGAAAAAAAAUGAAAAAUUUCAGAACUGCAAGGAGAGAGGCAGUGCCAGGCUGACCCGUGGCCCAAUGCCCACGCUGGGAAAUGGUCAACUCAUCCAGGAUUACCUUCUCUCCUGGCUAGAGAAACACAUCAGCUUGAUUCUGCAAGGCUUAUCCUUGCACAAGACAUUUCUCCUAAGGGCAAAACCAGCUUCCCAGCAGCCUUGCCUCGGAAUCUUCACCCUCCAGGAAAAUACACAACUUGUCACCCGACCUUGAAUCAAGCCCUGGGGAAGCCUUCGGGCUUGAGGAUCUUAAUUUGGCAGCCGGCCAACCAAAAUGCUUUAUUUCUCCUUCCUAAGUCCUUUGUUGGAUUAUUGAGGGGCUCUGCCUGAGGAAUUUGCUAUAAAGGCUUGCGAUUUUAAUUAAUUAAUUAAUUUUUAGACAGAGUUCCACUCUGUGGCCCAGGCUGGAGUGCAAUGGUAUGAUCUCAGCUCACCACAAUCUCCACCUCCCAGGUUCAAGCAAUUCUCCGGCCUCAGCCUCCUGAGUAGCUGGGAUUACAGGCACGUGCCACCACACCCAGUUAAUUUUUGUAUUUUUAGUAGAGACGAGCCAGGCUGGUCUCAAACCCCUGACUUCAGAUGAUCCACCUGCCUCAACCUCCCAGAGUACUGUGAUUACAGGCAUAAGCCACCAUGCCCAGCCAAGGCUUGUGAUUUUUCAGGAGCCUGGAGGUUUCUGGGUGGGUGAAGGGACAUUUGAAAUAUGAUUAUUACCUAUCAUGGUGGAAUGCCUGCGACAUGCUGCCUCCCAGCCAUGGUCUGGUCUGCCGCUCAUCCCACCAUGCCGCGUGGAGGACACUUUCACGCAGGGGCUCACUUGGGUCUGAGAAUCAGAGAAGCUGGAGUUCGCCUCCUGCCGCUAACUGCGUGACCUGCGCAUGCGUGCUUUGUCGGCCCAGCCUCUCCUUAUCUGGAAGAUGGGGUCCUGCUAGCACCUGUGUGAAGGAGCUCCCCGAACAGCGUCUAGCGCAUGGAAGUUAUUAUGGACAUCUUCACAUGUCAUUAAGCGUUUUCCUGCAAUUCCACUUGGAACGUCUGCACAGCAUUCCAACGUAGCUCUCUCCCUGGGAGGCAGAAGGCGGUUGGAGUGGCAGCUCCAGGCUUGGUGGCCCUUAUAGCUCCCAGCCCCAAAGAGUAAGCAGGUGUCCUCAGCCGUUGCCAUGGGAAAUACCUGAGGAAGGCUCUGAUUGGCCAGGCUUGGAUCCUGUGCCCAUCCUCGAGCCAAUCCCUGAGGCCAGCAAAACUGAGGACUUUGAUUGGCCAGGCCUGAGCCAUCUGCCCAUCCUGCAGCCAGGAGGAGGCAGCUGAAGGGAUGCUGAGGAGACAGUAAGCAGAGAUCCCCCAGGCUGCAAGCUAACAGGAACUCCACACAUAUGACUGGGAAAAUGCCCCCGAUGUCUUGCGUCUAAGGCUACAAUCCAUGAGAUCCAGCACCUGCCCCUGAAGAAGCUUAUAAUUUUGGGGAGACCCCAAAAUAUGGAAAACUCAGUUUAAAAAGGGUUCAGUGUCAAACAUGAGAUCAACACUACAGGAGGCCUUUGCUGCAGGAUAGACCUGGGUUUAAGGCCCAUUUCCACCAUGACCUCAACCAAUCUCUUUUCUUUUCUGGAGCCGAGCUCCCUUCUGCAUAAAGUAGGAAUAAAAACACCUGCCACACUCAUCGGUGGUUGAGAAUUUGA